CGCCGUUGAAACGGAAGCCGGAGGUGGUAGUGGUGGUAAUAAUUAUGAUAAAUCGUACUGGGAGAUGGACAAGGUCGAGCGGAAGGAUCGCAACUUGCCCAGCAACAUGCUCCUUCAGAUUUACGAGGCUCUCGUCGAUGUCGUCGAGAGGCCCGGCGGCGGCGGAGGAGGAGAUCAUACUAGGUUGACGGCUGCAGCGCCGGGUUCAGGUGGCGGCGGAGGAAGCUCUUCUAGUGGGGGCGGAGGAAUAAACACGUCGGUUAGCAACGUAAAUCAAGUGCCGAUGGAGAUACCAACCACCAUUGUUCAUCAUCACCAUCAGCCGGCGGCGGCGGCGGUGGCUG
rnacentral:lncRNA from 1 species